rnacentral:rRNA from 1 species
GAAUUCGAUUCAGGCCUAACACAUGCAAGUCGAACGAUGAAGCACCUUCGGGUGUGGAUUAGUGGCGAACGGGUGAGGAACACGUGAGAAAUCUGCCUUCAACUCUGGGAUAACUCCGGGAAACCGGGGCUAAUACCGGAUAUGAGCCUUGAUCGCAUGAUCGAGGCUGGAAAGUUUUUCGGUUGAAGAUGAUCUCGCGGCCUAUCAGCUUGUUGGUGAGGUAAUGGCUCACCAAGGCGACGACGGGUAUCCGGCCUGAGAGGGCGACCGGACACACUGGGACUGAGACACGGCCCAGACUCCUACGGGAGGCAGCAGUGGGGAAUAUUGGGCAAUGGGGGAAAGCCUGACCCAGCGACGCCGCGUGAGGGAUGAAGACCGUCGGGCUGUAAACCUCUUUCAGUAGGGAAGAAGCGAAA